rnacentral:rRNA from 1 species
CGGGUGAGUAACACGUGAGCAACCUGCCCCGAAGACCGGGAUAACAGUGGGAAACCGCUGCUAAUACCGGAUAUCCCCACCGAGUCUCCUGGCUUGGUGAGGAAAUGGACUCCGCUUCGGGAGGGGCUCGCGGCCUAUCAGCUUGUUGGUGGGGUAACGGCCUACCAAGGCGACGACGGGUAGCUGGUCUGAGAGGACGAUCAGCCACACUGGGACUGAGACACGGCCCAG